rnacentral:rRNA from 1 species
GAGAUUUAAAGGUAAGUUCUGCCCUAUGAUUAAUUUAAAUGGCUGCAGUAUAUUGACUGUGCAAAGGUAGCAUAAUAAUUAGUCUUUUAAUUGGAGGCUGGUAUGAAUGAAUAAAUGAGAAAUUUAUUUUAUUAUAAUUAAUAUUAUAAUUUAAUUUUUAGGUAAAAAAGCCUAAUUGAUUUUUAGGGACGAGAAGACCCUAUAGAAUUUUAAUUUUUUUUUUGUUAAUAUUUUUUAGUUUAAUAUUUUGAUUUAAUUGAUAAAAAUAUUUUUAUUGGGGUGAUAAAUAAAUUUAUCUUUAUUUUUGUUAUUCAUUUAUUUAUGUAUUAUUGAUCCAUAUUUUUAUGAUUACAAGAUUUAAUUACCUUAGGGAUAACAGCGUAAUUUUUAUGGGGAGUUCAUAUUUAUAUAAAAGUUUGCGACCUCGAUGUUGAAUUAAGAUUAUUUUACGGUGCAG